rnacentral:piRNA from 1 species
UGGGUAUGUACCAGGCAAACUGUGUCCUCC